UUCAAGCAACAUCAAAUGUCUGAUCAAGGUCAUAUUUGAAAAAAAAAAUCAAGCAAAAAUCAUUUGCAAUAGAUUAGUUUUGACGUUAGCACUUCGAUCAGUUUGCACACAACGAGUGGCCCCAGCGCCGUGAUUCACAAUUAGCUAGCUAAUGUAAACUUUGCGAAUGGAGGUUCUGAAAGCUGAAGUAAACUAACAUUUUUUAUCAUCCUCAUUGUCGGCAAGAGUAGGGCAGUUGGAUGCGGCAGAAAGUGACUCAAUUUACAGAAGCCUGAAACUGCAGGAAACCGUUGAUUAUUCAUUACGCCAACAUCGUGUUCUCGGAAGGGUGAGCCGCGCUAAACAACACCGCCAUCAGCGCAAGCCGAUCUUAAACUACCACGCUUAACCCCGUCCUGAGCGUUCCAGCUAGAGUCAGCCAGUAGGCCUAUUAUGCGCAUCUGAUCGACAUAUGGGACACAGAUGUUGCCGUCUGGUCGGACAGCAGGCCAUCCCCGGCCGGACUAGUGAAAGAAAGUCACUAAUGCUGCUGCACCUGUGCCACCUGUAACCAAGGCGAACGAUAAAGCGGAUCGAGCUGCUGGCUGAUGAACCCUGUCGCACAGUGACCGGAAGUAGGACAAAACCUUCACUUCAUUUUUUAUCUGCAAUAACAUUCCAGUAUAACAGACCAUCAAAUUCUGCAAGGGCAUGCAGUAUUUUAAGUACAUCACUUUGUCUGUAAUCAACAAAGAAAGAAUGUAUCUGUGAAUUAUACUAUCCAUUAGACCAGCGAAGCUUCUCAAAGGAAAAAUGUCUUUACAUGUCUUCCCACCUGAGAUGCCAGCUAAAAAAGCCUGGAAAAAAUACCGGAAGAU